rnacentral:rRNA from 1 species
GGAAUAUUGGACAAUGGGGGCAACCCUGAUCCAGCCAUGCCGCGUGUGUGAAGAAGGCCUUCGGGUUGUAAAGCACUUUCAGUGAGGAGGAAGGGGUGAUGGUUAAUACCCAUCAUCAUUGACGUUACUCACAGAAGAAGCACCGGCUAACUCCGUGCCAGCAGCCGCGGUAAUACGGAGGGUGCGAGCGUUAAUCGGAAUUACUGGGCGUAAAGCGCGCGUAGGCGGCGUGAUAAGCCGGUUGUGAAAGCCCCGGGCUCAACCUGGGAACGGCAUCCGGAACUGUUUAGCUAGAGUGCAGGAGAGGAAGGUAGAAUUCCCGGUGUAGCGGUGAAAUGCGUAGAGAUCGGGAGGAAUACCAGUGGCGAAGGCGGCCUUCUGGACUGACACUGACGCUGAGGUGCGAAAGCGUGGGUAGCA